GUUUACCUAAAAGCUGUGCCUUAAAGAUCACAGAUGCUCAAUAUAUAUUGCUGAAUGGACUUGCAAGUUUAAAAUGUAUGUUCAACAUAUUGACCUUUGGGGUCCUGGGAAUGAAAGCGUUUGCAUAACAUCACAUCAGAAAUAUUUAAAGCCUAAGUUAUUUUUAUUGUCUGGGACUGUUCUCUUUUGCAUGUAAAUAUCUUAAAAUCCUACAAAUAUAUGAAACAAGAAAGAAAAGAAAAAACAACCAUAGUUUCAUCAAACUAUGUUGAUUUCUAAAAAAUCAAAUUGUUAUGGUUGAGAAAUACAAAUCAUUUUUUAAUUAGUUUAAAACUGAUUUUUUAAAGUUCACUUUUGAAUAAGUUAUAUUUGCACAUGGUGAAAAAUUCAAACAGUAUAUACUUCUGGAAAAUGCUGCCCAUAUGCAAACAUAGUUAUAUCUUUCUGCACUUUUUUCCAAAAAUAGUAUCAUACUGUAUGCAUUGCUUGCACCUUGCUUUUGCAUUUAACAAUUUAUCUUAGAAAUCAUUCCACGUCAUUAUAUGUGAUAUGGUUUGGACCCGGUGGGAGGUAAUUGAAUCAUGGGGGCAGGUUUUUCCCAUGCUGUUCUCAUAAUAGUGAAUAAGUCUCAUGAGAUCCGAUGGUUCUUUAAGGGGGAGUUUUCCUGCACAAGCUCUCUUCGCCUGCCGACAUCCACGUAAGAUGUGAUUUGCUCCUCCUUGCCUUCCAUCAUGAUUGUGAAGCCUCGCCAGCUAUGCGGAACUGUAAGUCCAAUUAAACCUCUUUCUUUAGUAACUUGCCCAGUCUCAGGUAUGUCUUUAUCAGCAGCGUGAAAACAGACAAAUAUAAUAUGUAUCAGUUAAGAUUAGAUCUGGCUGCUGGUGAAAGAAAAUUAAAAACAUCAAUGCCUUGCAAAAUUAGACAUUGAUUUGUCUCUCUAAUGAAGUCCAAAGGUAAGUGGCCAGGCAAUACUAAGAUUCCAUAAUUAUCAGGGACCUAGGAUCCUUCUAUCGUUUUUAUGCCAUCUUCAACAUGGGGCUUCUACCUCAUGUUCCAACAUGACUGUCUGAGCUCCUGCCAUUACAUCUGCAUCUAUCUAGAAAAAAAAAAAAAAAAA
rnacentral:lncRNA from 1 species